rnacentral:rRNA from 1 species
AACGUAGGAGGCAAGCGUUAUCCGGAUUUACUGGGCGUAAAGCGCGUGCAGGCGGUUCGGCAAGUUGGAUGUGAAAGCUCCUGGCUCAACUAGGAGAGGUCGUUCAAAACUACCGAACUUGAGGGCAACAGAGGAAAGUGGAAUUCCCGGUGUAGUGGUGAAAUGCGUAGAUAUCGGGAGGAACACCAGUGGCGAAAGCGACUUUCUGGGUUGCAUCUGACGCUCAGACGCGAAAGCUAGGGUAGCAAACGGG